rnacentral:telomerase_RNA from 1 species
UCUCUCCGGAGAGGGGCGGUUUCUCUGUCUUCUAACCCUAAUGCGGUGCUUCGGCAGAAGCUCUCCACUGCGUACGCUCACUGUUUUUCUAGCUAACUUUCAGUGAGCAGGGAGAGCGAAGUCCAGUUUCACGACAACGGAGAAAAAAUGUUAGCUGGGGAACGUCCCUUUCCCGAGAGCCCGCGCCGUCCUUUUUCUUCCUCGGGCCCGUUGGCAUAGCCCCUGGCCUCCUCGCUCUAUAGGCCGCGGUCAGCUCGGGCCCCAGCUCCGGCAGGGGUUCCACUGCUGCCGCGAAGAGUUCGCCUCUGUCAGCCUUGAGGUGGCCGGGAUAGAAUAGGCGGGCUCGCGGCAGCGCGCGGGAAAGAGCAAAUGGUGAACUGGGUGCCUGUUGGGGUCGCGUCCCUGAAGAGUGGGAAGUGCGAUCUGUGUUCCUGUUCAGACACAC